rnacentral:rRNA from 1 species
AUGGCGGACCAACUCACCGACGACCAGAUCGCCGAGUUCAAGGAAGCCUUCAGCCUAUUCGACAAGGACGGCGACGGUUGCAUCACAACCAAGGAGCUGGGAACAGUUAUGCGUUCGCUGGGGCAGAACCCAACCGAGGCAGAGCUCCAGGACAUGAUCAACGAGGUCGAUGCCGAUGGCAACGGCACCAUCGACUUCCCAGAGUUCCUCAACCUGAUGGCCCGCAAGAUGAAGGACACCGACUCGGAGGAAGAGCUCAAGGAGGCCUUCCGGGUGUUCGACAAGGACCAGAACGGCUUCAUCUCGGCUGCAGAGCUCCGCCACGUCAUGACCAACCUCGGGGAGAAGCUAACGGACGAUGAGGUCGACGAGAUGAUCCGCGAGGCCGACGUCGACGGGGACGGCCAGAUCAACUACGAGGAGUUCGUCAAGGUGAUGAUGGCCAAGUGA